rnacentral:rRNA from 1 species
AUUGAACGCUGGCGGCAUGCCUAACACAUGCAAGUCGAACGAGUGGCGGACGGGUGAGUAAUGUCUGGGAAACUGCCCGAUGGAGGGGGAUAACUACUGGAAACGGUAGCUAAUACCGCAUACCAUCGGAUGUGCCCAUAUGGGAUUAGCUAGUGGGUGGGGUAACGGCUCACCUAGGCGACGAUCCCUAGCUGGUCUGAGAGGAUGACCAGCCACACUGGAACUGAGACACGGCCCAGACUCCUACGGGAGGCAGCAGGGGGGAAUAUUGCACAAUGGGCGCAACCCUGAUGCAGCCAUGCCGCGGGUAUGAAGAAGGCCUUCGGGUUGUAAAGUACUUUCAGCGGGGAGGCGGUACCCGCAGAAGAAGCACCGGCUAACUCCGUGCCAGCAGCCGCGGUAAUAC